GUAGGGAAUAUUGGGCAAUGGAUGCAAGUCUGACCCAGCCAUCCCGCGUGCCGGAAGAAGGCCCUCAGGGUUGUAAACGGCUUUUGACGGGGAAGAAUCGACAGGAUGCGUCCUGUUUUGACGGUAGCCGUUGAAUAAGCACCGGCUAACUCCGUGCCAGCAGCCGCGGUAAUACGGAGGGUGCGAGCGUUGUCCGGAUUUAUUGGGUUUAAAGGGUGCGUAGGCUGGAAGGUCAGUCAGCGGUGAAAAGCUGUCGCUUAACGAUAGUCUUGCCGUAGAUACUUCCUUUCUUGGAUGAGGAGGAGGCCACUGGAACGGAUGGUGUAGCGGUGAAAUGCAUAGAUAUCAUCCAGAACACCGAUUGCGAAGGCAGGUGGCUGUACCUUAAUCGACGCUGAUGCACGAAAGCAUGGGGAGCAAACAGGAUUAGAAACCCGGGUAGUCC
rnacentral:rRNA from 1 species